AGAACGAACGCUGGCGGCAUGCCUAAUACAUGCAAGUCGAACGAAGGCUUCGGCCUUAGUGGCGCACGGGUGCGUAACGCGUGGGAAUCUGCCCCUUGGUUCGGAAUAACAGUUGGAAACGACUGCUAAUACCGGAUGAUGACGAAAGUCCAAAGAUUUAUCGCCAAGGGAUGAGCCCGCGUAGGAUUAGCUAGUUGGUGAGGUAAAGGCUCACCAAGGCGACGAUCCUUAGCUGGUCUGAGAGGAUGGAUCGAGCCAACACUGGGACUGAGGACACGGCCCAGACUCCUACGGGAGGCAGCAGUAGGGAAUAUUGGACAAUGGGCAAAGCCUGAUCCAGCAAUGCCGCGUGAGUGAGUGAAGCCGUUAGGUUGUAAAGCUACGUUUUACCCGAGACUAGAUAAUGACAGUAUCGGAGAAUAAG
rnacentral:rRNA from 1 species